rnacentral:rRNA from 1 species
CCUCGGGGCGCAGCAGUGGGGAAUAUUGCACAAUGGGGGGAACCCUGACGCAGCGACGCCGCGUGGGUGAAGGAGUACUUCGGUACGUAAAGCCCUAUCAGCAGGAAAGAAAAUGACGGUACCUGACUAAGAAGCCCCGGCUAACUACGUGCCAGCAGCCGCGGUAAUACGUAGGGGGCAAGCGUUAUCCGGAUUUACUGGGUGUAAAGGGGGCGCAGACGGCGAUGCAAGCCAGGAGUGAAAGCCCGGGGCCCAACCCCGGGACUGCUCUUGGAACUGCGUGGCUGGAGUGCAGGAGGGGCAGG